rnacentral:rRNA from 1 species
UACGUAGGCAGCGAGCGUUUGUUCGGAGUUACUGGGCGUAAAGGGUGUGUAGGCGGUUGUUUAAGUUUGGUGUGAAAGCCCCCGGCUCAACUGGGGAGGGUCAUUCGAUACUGAUCGACUCGAAGGCAGGAGAGGGUAGUGGAAUUCCCGGUGUAGUGGUGAAAUGCGUAGAUAUCAGGAGGAACACCAGUGGCGAAGGCGACUACCUGGCCUGUUCUUACG